rnacentral:rRNA from 1 species
UACGUGGCGACCGGCGCACGGGUGAGUAACGCGUAUGCAACCUGCCCGAUACCGGGGUAUAGCCCAUGGAAACGUGGAUUAACACCCCAUAGUACUUUUAUCCUGCCUGGGAUGGGAGUUAAAUGUUCAAGGUAUCGGAUGGGCAUGCGUCCUAUUAGUUAGUUGGCGGGGUAACAGCCCACCAAGACGAUGAUAGGUAGGGGUUCUGAGAGGAAGGUCCCCCACAUUGGAACUGAGACACGGUCCAA